rnacentral:rRNA from 1 species
UACAGAGGUCCCAAGCGUUGUUCGGAUUCACUGGGCGUAAAGAGCUCGUAGGCGGUCUGUCGCGUCGGCUGUGAAAACCCGGAGCUCAACUCCGGGCCUGCAGUCGAUACGGGCAGACUGGAGUUCGGCAGGGGAGACUGGAAUUCCUGGUGUAGCGGUGAAAUGCGCAGAUAUCAGGAGGAACACCGGUGGCGAAGGCGGGUCUCUGGGCCGAUACUGACGCUGAGGAGCGAAAGCGUGGGGAGCGAACAGG